rnacentral:rRNA from 1 species
UUAGAACAAAAGAAGUUAAGAUCUUUAUAAUUCAAAGAAUUUGGCGGUUAAUUAAAAUUUUAGAGGAACCUGUAUUUUAAUUGAUAAACCACGUUAAUUUAAACCUUUAGAUUAAUAUUUGUAUACCUCUAUUAUUAAUAUUGUUUUAUUAGGAUAUUUUUGUUUAGUUUAUUCAAUUAAAUUAGGUCAAGGUGCAGUUUUAUAAAGGAUUAUAUGGGUUACUUUUAUUUUUAUAUCAUUAUUACUUAAUUAUAUUUAAAUAAUUAAUUUUAUAGGAUUUGAUAGUAAUUAUAAUUAAUUAAUUAUAUUGAAUAUU